rnacentral:lncRNA from 1 species
CUGGAUAAAUGGGGGUGCUCUCCCCCAAGCUGGAUUUCGACAUAAUUUCUUCUGAUGUAGCUAGCAGGUGGCGGAGGUGUAUUUGAAUGUCGGCAACACCCUGACAGCGAUUAGGAUGUCCUCCGUCUGCUAGUUUUAUUUCUUGAAUUCUGUGGAGCUCAAAUAGACAACAAAGCUUUGUGGAACUGGUUAAGUGUUAGCAUAAAAUCUCUUAGCCGUUAUCAUGUUGAACUUCCUCUAAUAAAUAUUACUCUCUUUGGUAGGAUCAUAAAUUUAUUUUUAUAUUUUCAUUUUUAUAGGACAGGAAUAUAUUUAUUUUAUUUUUAUGCCACCAUAGUGAAUGUACUUAUGGGUUUUAUGUCAUGAGCAUACUCACAUGGGGCUUACUAUUUUUAACAUUUUUAUUUUCUUUUCAAGAUGAUAUGAACCUAAUUAACUAAGCAAACUUUUUUAAAUAAUUGAAAGGAAAACGAUAACUACCAAGUUUACCUCUUGGCAAGGCGUUCAGUGUUUUUAAGUCCUCCGAACGGGACUCUCUGUUUUCUCAGUCGUCAUGGGAUUCGCUGGAUGGCGUAGUCGGUGGUUCCGGCGGCGCCUGCUCUUCUUGUAUAACUAUCUUCUCUCUCUACACCUGACUCGGUGCUACGGUCUCCUCAGGACAGUUCUGUUCAAGUUGUAUGUCUUCAGACCUUACCACUUCUCCUUCGUAGUCUGCCCAUCCGUCCUUGAUGAUUUGCCUCCUCUAGUUGUGGUUACGUCAUCUUCUUCUUGUCCUGACCUUCAACCUUUCGGAAUGUCUGAUCUGCCAUCUGGAGCUGAAUGUAUGUUGGUUUGAGGGGCAUGGUUCUAAACAGGAGCUGAUAGGUGACUGGGUCGUCCUUUUUGGAGACUUAAGUCGACGAUCUUGACCUUCUUGAAAUGCAGUGACCAUCUUAGCUGACUCGGUCCACAUUUGCUUGUUCCUGUUCCCCCUGUUGGUCUUCUUCCUUGGUUUAUGUCAGGAUUGUUCUGAGAUUUGUGUAGUCUUGUUCUUGAAGGAAAACGUCUUCUUCCUCCCCUUGAUGUAGAAACUGAUCUUGGCAGCACUAGCAUAGAUGACAGCUCCCAAGGUGUUCAGGAAUGGCCUCCCUAGGAUGAUAGGUGCCCUCUCAUCAGUACCAGUCUCUAUCACCACAAAGUCUGCUGGGGCGUACAAGGUACCAACUCAGACGCAGAGGUUCUUCAAUAUUCCCUUUGGGAAACUUAGUGUCCGAUCCUGGGCAUAAUGUUGACACUGGAGCCAAAGUCACAGAGUACUUCUGGGAAGUCCACCAUGCCGAUGGAGAUCGGGAUGAUGGGACGUCCUGGAUCGCCUCUCUGAGUAGUUAGGCCUCUGUUGAUUCCAACCUUGAUUUUGUUGAGGACGGUUGUAAUAGUAGUAGUAGUAGUUGUUGUUGUAGUUCACGUCCUCAAGCUUUUCAGGGCAGUGAUUGCCUGAGUGUCCAGAAUCUCCAGUGUGUUUGUGCUCGUAGAUCCAGGUUCUUCACUUGGUGGAGUCUGGGAGUUGUAAAAGCUCCUUCAUAUUUUGCUCGAAGUGUACCUGCUCAUAGAGACAAGGCGGAGAUCAAGUGCAUGGGCCCUGUUGGCGGAAAACACCAACAGAACCAAAAGUGUAUUUGUUCUUCUCUAACCUUAAGCAUAGUGAGCAAGACAAAGUUGAUGGAUAGUAAGAUCAUGAGUGU